GACGAACGCUGGCGGCGUGCUUAACACAUGCAAGUCGUACGGUAAGGCCCUUUCGGGGGUACACGAGUGGCGAACGGGUGAGUAACACGUGAGUAACCUGCCCACAACUUUGGGAUAACGCUAGGAAACUGGUGCUAAUACUGGAUAUGUGCUCCUGCUGCAUGGUGGGGGUUGGAAAGCUCCGGCGGUUGUGGAUGGACUCGCGGCCUAUCAGCUUGUUGGUGGGGUAGUGGCCUACCAAGGCGGCGACGGGUAGCCGGCCUGAGAGGGUGACCGGCCACAUUGGGACUGAGAUACGGCCCAGACUCCUACGGGAGGCAGCAGUGGGGAAGAGUGCACAAUGGGCGCAAGCCUGAUGCAGCAACGCCGCGUGCGGGAUGACGGCCUUCGGGUUGUAAACCGCUUUCAGCAGGGACGAAGCUUUUUGUGACGGUACCUGCAGAAGAAGCACCGGCUAACUACGUG
rnacentral:rRNA from 1 species